rnacentral:rRNA from 1 species
GACAGAGGUCCCGAGCGUUAGGCGGAAUCACUGGGCUUAAAGCGUGUGUAGGCGGACUUCUAAGUACCUUGUGAAAUCCCACGGCUUAACCGUGGAACUGCUGGGUAUACUGGUUGUCUUGGGCCAUCUAGGGGCUACUGGAACAAACGGUGGAGCGGUGAAAUGCGUAGAUAUCGUUUGGAACGCCAAUGGUGAAAAACAAGUAAGCUGGGGGAUGUGCCGACGCUGAGACACGAAAGCCGGGGAGCGAACGGGGA